rnacentral:lncRNA from 1 species
CGGCCUGAUCAGGUCCACGUUCGAUCCGUAGGGGUCGAACGUCCUCUUAAACCUCUCUUCCACAAAACGAGAUGGGAGAACAAGCGGGAAAAGGGAGAAAUCUCUAUCAGCCAACAGACUUACUCGCAGCUUGGUGACUUCUGCUUCAUAAAGCUUUUCUUGCUCUGCGAACAUGUCGAUCAUGUCUUGCGGGAUCGCCA